rnacentral:rRNA from 1 species
GUAACAAGGUUUCNGUAGGUGAACNUGCGGAAGGAUCAUUG